AGAGUUUGAUCAUGGCUCAGAAUGAACGCUGGCGGCGUGCUUAACACAUGCAAGUCGCACGAGAACACCGAACUUCGGUUUGGUAAGUAAAGUGGCGCACGGGUGAGUAACGCGUGGGUAAUCUGCCCCUGAAUUUGGGAUAACAUUGCGAAAGCGAUGCUAAUACCGGAUGAAGUCAUUGAAACUUAGGUUUUGAUGAUGAAAGAUGGCCUCUACAUGUAAGCUAUUGUUUAGGGAUGAGCCCGCGUACCAUUAGCUAGUUGGUGGGGUAACGGCCUACCAAGGCAGCGAUGGUUAGCUGGUCUGAGAGGAUGAUCAGCCACACCGGAACUGACACACGGUCCGGACUCCUACGGGAGGCAGCAGUGAGGAAUUUUGCGCAAUGGGGGGAACCCUGACGCAGCAACGCCGCGUGAGUGAUGAAGGCCUUCGGGUCGUAAAGCUCUGUCAAGUGGGAAGAACCCUGUGUAUAAUAAAAUGUACAUGGCUGACGGUACCACUGAAGGAAGCACCGGCUAACUCCGUGCCAGCAGCCGCGAUAAUACGGAGGGUGCAAGCGUUAUUCGGAAUUAUUGGGCGUAAAGAGCGCGUAGGCGGUUUUUUAAGUCAGAUGUGAAAUCCCGGGGCUUAA
rnacentral:rRNA from 1 species